GACGAACCGUGCGAACGUUGUUCGGAAUCACCGGGCUUAAAGGGCGCGUAGGCGGCUUGCCAAGUCAGGGGUGAAAUCUUUCGGCUUAACCGGAAAAGUGCCUUUGAUACUGGCAGGCUAGAGGGAGGUAGGGGCAUGCGGAACUUCCGGUGGAGCGGUGAAAUGCGUUGAUAUCGGAAGGAACGCCGGUGGCGAAAGCGGCGUGCUGGACCUCUUCUGACGCUGAGGCGCGAAAGCUAGGGGAGCAAACGGG
rnacentral:rRNA from 1 species